CUCUUAUUUAGUAUACUCGAUUUAAUAUAAGAGGCUGUGAGGUGUCAGCGCAUGGUUGGAUGAAGAGUUUUAUUGAGAACCAUUUUUUUUUCCCGAUUGUGUUCUUCCCUUCCUCUCUCUUUCUCUCGCUCUCUGUCGCGAAUCUCUUAAUCGGAGGAGAUUGAUGAUAGACUCUGGUCUCAUCAAUUGAAUUGGUUGGAAUCGUUGGAGAUUGGAAUUGAAAGUUACGAGAAGAGCAGAGAGGCCAACACUAUAAAAAGCAGGCUUUGAUCUCACUACCUCCACCGUGAUCCCUCCACUGCUGCUCUUGCUCAAGCUUACGCUCCCGGUCAGGAUUAAAGGCACAACUGGAGUUGAGAUUGCUUCUGGCCUCAAUUGGUAUUUAAAGUAUAAAUGUAAUGCUCAUGUUUCUUGGGACAAGACUGGUGGCAUUCAGAUUGCCUCUGUUCCACAGCCUGGAUACUAUUACCAACAUGUUGUUACAUCUAGCUAUUCAUAUGUUUGGUGGGGAUGGGAUGGGAGAGAGAGAUUAUCUUUGUUUAGAGCCUCUUGCUCGUUGUUGACUGCUUCUAUUUUAUGAAAAUGGUUACAAGGAUCAAGGAUAUGGAAAUCUCCAAACACCAGAACAUGUCUAGUAUGGGUAACUCCGGGUUGAUGCAGCAUGAAGUUUAUGGUUAUGAUCAGAACUUGUGUACGAGUGAUAUUACCGACAGAAACGUUCCAGAUCCUAGUCUCUCAAACACAGUCUGAGAUUUCUCUGAAAUCAAUCAAACUGUCCAAUUAUGAAGCUGUCUAUGCAUUGCAUUGGUGUCUAUUUGGUAGUACGAGGACAAUUAAUAUGUAUAUUGCAUCAACAUAUAAUUUUCUUUAUUUGUACCUUCUUUAUG